GGAGAGAUGCCCGAGUGGCUAAAGGGGGCGGACUGUAAAUCCGUUAGCGAAGCUUACACUGGUUCGAAUCCAGUUCUCUCCACCA
rnacentral:tRNA from 1 species